rnacentral:rRNA from 1 species
AUUGAACGCUGGCGGCAGGCCUAACACAUGCAAGUCGAACGGUAACAGGAAGAAGCUUGCUUCUUUGCUGACGAGUGGCGGACGGGUGAGUCAUGUCUGGGAAACUGCCUGAUGGAGGGGGAUAACUACUGGAAACGGUAGCUAAUACCGCAUAACGUCGCAAGACCAAAGAGGGGGACCUUCGGGCCUCUUGCCAUCGGAUGUGCCCAGAUGGGAUUAGCUAGUAGGUGGGGUAACGGCUCACCUAGGCGACGAUCCCUAGCUGGUCUGAGAGGAUGACCAGCCACACUGGAACUGAGACACGGUCCAGACUCCUACGGGAGGCAGCAGUGGGGAAUAUUGCACAAUGGGCGAAAGCCUGAUGCAGCCAUGCCGCGUGUAUGAAGAAGGCCUUCGGGUUGUAAAGUACUUUCAGCGGGGAGGAAGGGAGUAAAGUUAAUACCUUUGCUCAUUGACGUUACCCGCAGAAGAAGCACCGGCUAACUCCGUG